UAACACGAAGUGAGUGGCGAACGGGUGAGUAACACGUGGGUAACCUGCCCAGAAGUAGGGGAUAACACCUGGAAACAGAUGCUAAUACCGUAUAACAGAGAAAACCGCAUGGUUUUCUUUUAAAAGAUGGCUCUGCUAUCACUUCUGGAUGGACCCGCGGCGUAUUAGCUAGUUGGUGAGGUAAAGGCUCACCAAGGCAGUGAUACGUAGCCGACCUGAGAGGGUAAUCGGCCACAUUGGGACUGAGACACGGCCCAGACUCCUACGGGAGGCAGCAGUAGGGAAUCUUCCACAAUGGACGCAAGUCUGAUGGAGCAACGCCGCGUGAGUGAAGAAGGGUUUCGGCUCGUAAAGCUCUGUUGUUAAAGAAGAACGUGGGUAAGAGUAACUGUUUACCCAGUGACGGUAUUUAACCAGAAAGCCACGGCUAACUACGUGCCAGCAGCCGCGGUAAUACGUAGGUGGCAAGCGUUAUCCGGAUUUAUUGGGCGUAAAGCGAGCGCAGGCGGUCUUUUAAGUCUAAUGUGAAAGCCUUCGGCUCAACCGAAGAAGUGCAUUGGAAACUGGGAGACUUGAGUGCAGAAGAGGACAGUGGAACUCCAUGUGUAGCGGUGAAAUGCGUAGAUAUAUGGAAGAACACCAGUGGCGAAGGCGGCUGUCUGGUCUGCAACUGACGCUGAGGCUCGAAAGCAUGGGUAGCGAACAGGAUUAGAUACCCUGGUAGUCCAUGCCGUAAACGAUGAUUACUAAGUGUUGGAGGGUUUCCGCCCUUCAGUGCUGCAGCUAACGCAUUAAGUAAUCCGCCUGGGGAGUACGACCGCAAGGUUGAAACUCAAAAGAAUUGACGGGGGCCCGCACAAGCGGUGGAGCAUGUGGUUUAAUUCGAAGCUACGCGAAGAACCUUACCAGGUCUUGACAUCUUCUGACAGUCUAAGAGAUUAGAGGUUCCCUUCGGGGACAGAAUGACAGGUGGUGCAUGGUUGUCGUCAGCUCGUGUCGUGAGAUGUUGGGUUAAGUCCCGCAACGAGCGCAACCCUUAUUACUAGUUGCCAGCAUUAAGUUGGGCACUCUAGUGAGACUGCCGGUGACAAACCGGAGGAAGGUGGGGACGACGUCAAAUCAUCAUGCCCCUUAUGACCUGGGCUACACACGUGCUACAAUGGAUGGUACAACGAGUCGCGAGACCGCGAGGUUAAGCUAAUCUCUUAAAACCAUUCUCAGUUCGGACUGUAGGCUGCAACUCGCCUACACGAAGUCGGAAUCGCUAGUAAUCGCGGAUCAGCAUGCCGCGGUGAAUACGUUCCCGGGCCUUGUACACAC
rnacentral:rRNA from 1 species